rnacentral:rRNA from 1 species
UUCAUGGAGAGUUUGAUCCUGGCUCAGGACGAACGCUGGCGGCGUGCCUAAUACAUGCAAGUCGAGCGGACAGAUGGGAGCUUGCUCCCUGAUGUCAGCGGCGGACGGGUGAGUAACACGUGGGUAACCUGCCUGUAAGA